AGUGAACGCUGGCGGUAGGCCUAACACAUGCAAGUCGAACGGCAGCACAGUAAGAGCUUGCUCUUACGGGUGGCGAGUGGCGGACGGGUGAGGAAUACAUCGGAAUCUACCUUUUCGUGGGGGAUAACGUAGGGAAACUUACGCUAAUACCGCAUACGACCUACGGGUGAAAGCAGGGGGUCUUCGGACCUUGCGCGAUUGAAUGAGCCGAUGUCGGAUUAGCUAGUUGGCGGGGUAAAGGCCCACCAAGGCGACGAUCCGUAGCUGGUCUGAGAGGAUGAUCAGCCACACUGGAACUGAGACACGGUCCAGACUCCUACGGGAGGCAGCAGUGGGGAAUAUUGGACAAUGGGCGCAAGCCUGAUCCAGCCAUACCGCGUGGGUGAAGAAGGCCUUCGGGUUGUAAAGCCCUUUUGUUGGGAAAGAAAAGCAGCAGGUUAAUACCCCGCUGUUCUGACGGUACCCAAAGAAUAAGCACCGGCUAACUUCGUG
rnacentral:rRNA from 1 species